CUGCUCACUUUGGCAGCACAUAUACUAAAAUUGGAAUGAUACAGAAAAGAUUAGUGUGGUCCCUGCACAAGCAGGCCAUUAAUAUAGUAAAAUCCAAGAUCCUCAU